UAAAGCGAGACAAAGUAGAUUUUGUCGGUUUACGGCAUUUUGAAAUCAGUGCAAGUGGAUGGAAGGAGAGGAUAUACCGUCAGCCAAUGGGAAACCGGGCUGUAAAUAAGUAUCUGGAUGACAUCAGGCGGACGCUGCUUGCAUGGUACAGGAUUGGUAGAGAGCCUGUAUUUCAUGCCUGUUAUGCUAUGCGGUUAGGGCUACCAGCAAAGCUGCUUAUAUAGGGCUGCCGUACCAGAUACCAUUUUAAUAAUAGGUUAUU
rnacentral:sRNA from 12 species